UACGGAGGGUGCGAGCGUUGUCCGGAAUCACUGGGCGUAAAGGGCGCGUAGGCGGCUUCUCAAGCGUGUGGUGAAAGUCCGGGGCUCAACCCCGGAUCGGCCGUGCGGACUGGGGAGCUCGAGUUUUGUAGAGGCGGGUGGAAUUCCGGGUGUAGCGGUGGAAUGCGUAGAGAUCCGGAAGAACACCGGUGGCGAAGGCGGCCCGCUGGGCAGAGACUGACGCUGAGGCGCGACAGCGUGGGGAGCAAACAGG
rnacentral:rRNA from 1 species